rnacentral:lncRNA from 1 species
GGGAAGUAAGCUUAUAAACUGUGGCUGUAAUUCAGAGUAUAACAGGAAGCCAUGAGUAUUUUAAGCAGAGAGUGAUUUAUAUUGUAAUAGGAUCAUUUGGACUUCUGUGUUAAAAAUAGCCUAUAAGUGGCAAAGACAGAAACUAGGUGAUGGAUUAGGGAGCUGUGACAAUUAUUCAGUUUUUUAGGACCAGCAGUCCCGUAGAUUCUCAAUGUUUGGUGAGAGACAUGCUUAGAUUGUGCUGUUCCUACAAUGCGAAGCCAGAUAACACUUUGACCAACUUCAGAAAAACUGGUUACGUGGAAAAAACUGUAGACGUACAUAUACAGGCUAUCAUAGAUCCUCAAGAAAGAAGACAUCACUUACUAAAGGAAAACUUGGUGAUAAAAAAUUCAGUUUCCAUCCUAUUCAAUCUUGAGAAUCUCACUGUCUACAAAACUGCUUGUCAGGAAGCAGGAGAGUUUCAGAAUUAG